rnacentral:rRNA from 1 species
CGGCAGGCCUAACACAUGCAAGUCGAGCGGAUGACGGGAGCUUGCUCCUUGAUUCAGCGGCGGACGGGUGAGUAAUGCCUAGGAAUCUGCCUGGUAGUGGGGGACAACGUUUCGAAAGGAACGCUAAUACCGCAUACGUCCUACGGGAGAAAGCAGGGGACCUUCGGGCCUUGCGCUAUCAGAUGAGCCUAGGUCGGAUUAGCUAGUUGGUGGGGUAAUGGCUCACCAAGGCGACGAUCCGUAACUGGUCUGAGAGGAUGAUCAGUCACACUGGAACUGAGACACGGUCCAGACUCCUACGGGAGGCAGCAGUGGGGAAUAUUGGACAAUGGGCGAAAGCCUGAUCCAGCCAUGCCGCGUGUGUGAAGAAGGUCUUCGGAUUGUAAAGCACUUUAAGUUGGGAG